UACGUAGGGGGCUAGCGUUGCUCGGAAUCACUGGGCGUAAAGCGCGCGUAGGCGGACUCUUAAGUCGGGGGUGAAAUCCUGGAGCUCAACUCCAGAACUGCCUUUGAUACUGAGAGCCUUGAGUCCGGGAGAGGGGAGUGGAACUGCGAGUGUAGAGGUGAAAUUCGUAGAUAUUCGGAAGAACACCAGUGGCGAAGGCGGCUCACUGGACUGGUACUGACGCUGAGGCGCGAAAGCGUGGGGAGCAAACAGG
rnacentral:rRNA from 1 species